UACGUAGGGGGCAAGCGUUAUCCGGAAUUACUGGGUGUAAAGGGAGCGUAGACGGUAAUGUAAGUCUGGAGUGAAAGGCGGGGGCCCAACCCCCGGACUGCUCUGGAAACUAUGUUACUAGAGUGCAGGAGAGGUAAGCGGAAUUCCUAGUGUAGCGGUGAAAUGCGUAGAUAUUAGGAGGAACACCAGUGGCGAAGGCGGCUUACUGGUCUGUAACUGACGCUGAGGUUCGAAAGCGUGGGUAGCAAACAGG
rnacentral:rRNA from 1 species